rnacentral:rRNA from 1 species
AAUCCAUAGGUUAAUGAGGCGAACCGGGGGAACUGAAACAUCUAAGUACCCCGAGGAAAAGAAAUCAACCGAGAUUCCCCCAGUAGCGGCGAGCGAACGGGGAGGAGCCCAGAGCCUGAAUCAGCAUGUGUGUUAGUGGAAGCGUCUGGAAAGGCGCGCGAUACAGGGUGACAGCCCCGUACACAAAAGCGCAUGUGCUGUGAGCUCGAUGAGUAGGGCGGGACACGUGGUAUCCUGUCUGAAUAUGGGGGGACCAUCCUCCAAGGCUAAAUACUCCUGACUGACCGAUAGUGAACCAGUACCGUGAGGGAAAGGCGAAAAGAACCCCGGCGAGGGGAGUGAAAAAGAACCUGAAACCGUGUACGUACAAGCAGUGGGAGCACCCUUCGGGGUGUGACUGCGUACCUUUUGUAUAAUGGGUCAGCGACUUAUAUUCUGUAGCAAGGUUAACCGUAUAGGGGAGCCGCAGGGAAACCGAGUCUUAAC